UAGGCGAUCUCGUUGAGAGUUCCAAAUCCACAACUAGUUAGUAGCUGGCGAACAACGCAGAGUUUGUGACGGAAGCGUACUCGCUACCGACGGUACCAGAUUUCACACAUGGAUACGAAACACUAAAUCACUUGGCAUCCUAAAACCAUUCAAGCGUUCAAGCGAUGCUUGAAGGAAGAUGAGACCACGUGUGGAUCUGUGGUAAUCAGCAAUUCUAACAUGCCCACCUGACGACCAGAGCGCUGUCGACAACUGUCAAGAAAAAUAAUUCAUUAACCCCAUUUCUGAACGCCGUCAUCUCUUCACGAAAAUGGAUGAGAAACAAGCCUUCAAUCAUCAUCGACAUGCACAAUGUGGCCCAAGCAACAGCAUCGCACCAGCGGACACGUUUGGUAACAUGGAUCUAUAACAACCACCGUCCCCUGCUUUCAUUUCGCUUGGAGCCACAUGUCCAAAAACGGAAAACGGAAUGGGGAACUAGUUUAGACUGCGGACUUGCACUAAAUCACACUGGGCCCGACAGCCUUGCCUUCCACGGGCUGCCCCCGGAAUGUACCUCAUUCUAGAUAAAACGUCAUUACACCGGGCGCCCGUCUUUUCCACUCGAUGAAAGGUCACAGAUCGGCACUCCCCCGUUCGGAGAGGAAGAUUAGGAAGUAAUUGUAUUUACAAUAAAAUCGGAGAAGAGUCUCGUAGCGUGCCUGCCUGUGGUGUUGUUAUUGGGAAUUUCGCUUGAGAACACUGGAAAAGAAAGGGGAAAAAGAAGGAAAAUAGAGGUGUAGAAAACAAAUUCAAGUCUUCAGACACUCAUAUCCUCUGUUUCUCAGCUCUCUAUA